ACGGAGGCCCCGAGCGUUGUUCGGAAUCACUGGGCUUAAAGCGCGUGUAGGCGGAUCGGUAAGUACCUUGUGAAAUCCCCGGCUUCAACCCGGGAACUGCUCGGUAUACUGCCGGUCUUGAGGCAGGUAGGGGUUACUGGAACCUUAGGUGGAGCGGUGAAAUGCGUAGAUAUCUAAGGGAACGCCAGUGGCGAAAGCGGGUAACUGGGCCUGACCUGACGCUGAUACGCGAAAGCGUAGGGAGCAAACGG
rnacentral:rRNA from 1 species